rnacentral:lncRNA from 1 species
UGUGAUCCAGAAAGUUGGAAUUAUGCAAGUCUUCCCCAUACCAUUUAUGGACGAUCAGAUUUCUCCGAAGGCUAUUUUCUUGUUCCAAAAACGCCAAGUCCAUUUGCUAAGUAAAGCUUGGUUAAAUGUGAUGACAGAUUUGAUAUCCAAUCCUCCAGAAGCGAUAGAAUUUUGAUCUCCUCCCAUUUGACAAAGUGGAUUUUCCUUUUGUCGAC